rnacentral:rRNA from 1 species
CUUGACAUCCAGCGAACUUGGCAGAGAUGCCUUGGUGCCUUCGGGAACGCUGAGACAGGUGCUGCAUGGCUGUCGUCAGCUCGUGUUGUGAAAUGUUGGGUUAAGUCCGCAACGAGCGCAACCCUUAUCCUUUGUUGCCAGCGAUUCGGUCGGGAACUCAAAGGAGACUGCCGGUGAUAAACCGGAGGAAGGUGGGGAUGACGUCAAGUCAUCAUGGCCCUUACGAGUAGGGCUACACACGUGCUACAAUGGCGCAUACAAAGAGAAGCGACCUCGCGAGAGCAAGCGGACCUCAUAAAGUGCGUCGUAGUCCGGAUCGGGGUCUGCAACUCGACUCCGUGAAGUCGGAAUCGCUAGUAAUCGUGGAUCAGAAUGCCACGGUGAAUACGUUCCCGGGCCUUGUACACACCGCCCGUCACACCAUGGGAGUGGGUUGCAAAAGAAGUAGGUAGCUUAACCUUCGGGAGGGCGCUUACCACUUUGUGAUUCAUGACUGGGGUGAAGUCGUAACAAGGUAAGCGUAGCGAG